UACGUAGGGUGCGAGCGUUAAUCGGAAUUACUGGGCGUAAAGCGUGCGCAGGCGGUUAUUUAAGUCAGGUGUGAAAGCCCUGGGCUUAACCUAGGAAUUGCGCUUGAGACUGGAUAGCUUGGAGUGCGGCAGAGGGAGGUGGAAUUCCACGUGUAGCAGUGAAAUGCGUAGAGAUGUGGAGGAACACCGGUGGCGAAGGCGGCGAUCUGGGGUCGAUACUGACGCUGAGGUGCGAAAGCGUGGGGAGCAAACAGG
rnacentral:rRNA from 1 species